rnacentral:rRNA from 1 species
GGGUUUGUCGGCUCGCACUUGCAGUCGCGGGAGAGUCUGUGACUCUUCGGGUCCAGAGGAGACCGGCGGAUGGGUGAGUAACGCGUAGGUAAUCUGCCAUUAGGACUGGGAUAACCCACCGAAAGGUGAGCUAAUACCGGAUGAUGCAGCGGGGCCGCAUGGCCACAGUUGUUAAAUCCUUCGGGAGCCUAAUGAUGAACCUGCGUGCCAUUAGCUAGUUGGUAGGGUCAAAGCCUACCAAGGCAAUGAUGGCUAGGGGGUCUGAGAGGAUGAUCCCCCACACUGGGACUGAGACACGGCCCAGACUCCUACGGGAGGCAGCAGUGAGGAAUCUUGCGCAAUGGAGGAAACUCUGACGCAGCCACGCCGCGUGCUGGAAGACGGCCCUAUGGGUUGUAAACAGCUUUUACUAGGGAAGAACCUGGACCUUUCGAGGACCACUGACGGUACCUAGUGAAUAAGCACCGGCUAACUCCGUGCCAGCAGCCGCGGUAAUACGGAGGGUGCAAGCGUUGUCCGGAAUCAUUGGGUGUAAAGGGUGUGCAGGCGGAGGUCUAAGUCGGAGGUGAAAUCUUACCGCUUAACGGUAUAAGUGCCUUCGAAACUGGAUUUCUUGAGUUCGGAAGAGGUUGGUGGAAUUCCUGGUGUAGCGGUGAAAUGCAUAGAUAUCACGAAGAACACCGGUGGCUAAGGCGGCCAACUGGUCCGAUACUGACGCUGAGACACGAGAGCGUGGGGAGCUAACAGGAUUAGAUACCCUGGUAGUCCACGCUGUAAACUAUGCAUGCUAGCUGUUGUCCCUUUGGGGGCAGUGACGCAGUUAUCAGCAGCAAGCAUGCCACCUGGGGAGUACGUUCGCAAGAAUGAAAC